AGCGCGAGCCCGGCGACCGGUCCGGAGGGCCGUGUCGGGACCCCGCCGUUCCACGACGGGGGUUGGUCCAGCGCCGUCGAAUAUGUCGUGACUGGCCCUUGAGGCCCGAGUGUGGCUCCAAGGUGUCCGGCUGCCGGCCGUUUGGAGUCUCAGAGAGGAGUGACGUGGCUUUCCCAAGAGGACACCCUGAGCUGUCAUGGCUCACUAAGAGCCUGACCCUUGGCAGCCCUUCCCUGAAACGACCAUUGGUUUGGAAUACUGGAACUGGUCGCUUUGUAAUGGCACCGUGAGCACCGACCGCACCAUAAAAUUUACUAGGUAUAGAUCUUCGAAAGCAAGUGAAUGAGUCUUAGUGCUGGAAUACACCUGAGCCUUUGAGGUGGCUCUUAUUACAAAUGAGCAAACACCCCCCCCACCCCCAAAGUAACAAGGCUGAGGGGCUUCCACACACAUCUUGUAAGUGGCAGAUCCAAAUCAUCUACGCAUCUUUGGAUUCACACGAUUGAUUGCCCUUGUGUUUAAUAUUUCCCACGCCCUAUGGUGCCCAGGAGUUGGAUUUUAAUGGAGAACCAUGUUGUCAAGCAUUGUGUGCCCAUCUUGAAGUUCUGAAGGAAGAUGAGCACGAAGAAAAUAAAAUAAAUAAAAUUCAA